rnacentral:rRNA from 1 species
GGAUAACCUACCCUUAGGACUAGGAUAACCCUGGGAAACUGGGGCUAAUACCGGAUAGGCAAUUAUUCCUGGAAUGGUUUUUUGUUUAAAUGUUUUUUCGCCUAAGGAUGGGUCUGCGGCCGAUUAGGUAGUUGGUUAGGUAAUGGCUUACCAAGCCGUUGAUCGGUACGGGUUGUGAGAGCAAGAGCCCGGAGAUGGAACCUGAGACAAGGUUCCAGGCCCUACGGGGUGCAGCAGGCGCGAAACCUCCACAAUGUGAGAAAUCGCGACGGGGGGAUCCCAAGUGCCAUUCUUAACGGGAUGGCUUUUCAUUAGUGUAAAGAGCUUUUGGAAUAAGAGCUGGGCAAGACCGGUGCCAGCCGCCGCGGUAACACCGGCAGCUCUAGUGGUAACAAUUUUUAUUGGGCCUAAAGCGUCCGUAGCCGGUUUAAUAAGUCUCUGGUGAAAUCCUGUAGCUUAACUGUGGGAAUUGCUGGAGAUACUAUUAGACUUGAGACCGGGAGAGGUUAGAGGUACUCCCAGGGUAGAGGUGAAAUUCUGUAAUCCUGGGAGGACCGCCUGUUGCGAAGGCGUCUAACUGGAACGGUUCUGACGGUGAGGGACGAAAGUUAGGGGCGCGAACCGGAUUAGAUACCCGGGUAGUCCUAACUGUAAACGAUGCGGACUUGGUGUUGGGGUGGCUUUGAGCUGCUCCAGUGCCGAAAGGGAAGCUGUUAAGUCCGCCGCCUGGGAAGUACGGUCGCAAGACUGAAACUU